rnacentral:misc_RNA from 1 species
AAGGAUUUUAACCCUCUCUUCCCUUCCCACUCCAGACAAGUUGAGAAAGCGAACAAGAAACAGAGAAAGAAAGAAGGAUUCUACAAGGGUGAGUUUUGUGCAGAGAGAGAUAGGGUGGCGACCGUAGACGCAGAAGAAGGAGGGACGCGCUCUAGUCUUCUCCAAGAGCUUCUCUCAUCACUGUUUGCAAAAGUAUUUGGCAAAAACCAAGAACAAUCCGACGAAGAAGGAGAAGAACCUGAAAUGGAGUCGAGAGCUGAUGUUCCUCAUCAACAGCUAAGAGGUUACUAACCAUCACUCUUGAUUUUGAUUUGAUUUCUUUUCUUUUCUUAUCUUUUCUUUUUCUUUUUUGGGAGUUGAAAAGGUUCUUCAAUUAACUGCAAAUAGCGUUGUGGGUUUUCUGAUUUAUUUUGGGGUCUGGUUCUGUUCUCGAUUUCUUUUAUGGUUUUUUUUCAUAUAAUAGUUGAAGACAAUUCCUUUAAGACUUAUCUCAUAGUUAUUGUUAUAAUAUAAUAAUUUCUUUCUUCAUUGAUUUUGUAUGUUAACGUUCAUUGAUUAAUUUAUAUUUCUUUUUAGAUCUGACUUUGUAGACGGAUUUUAUUUUAUGUGUUUUCUCCUAAAUUUGACAACAGGCUAUUUAAUUAUGAGCGCUGGAUUCUUGCAUUUUGAAUAUAUUUAGAGGAAUUCAUCAUUAGUUAUCUUCAAGUUCACUGUCGUUUUCCUGGAAAAUUCUUUUUCUUUCAAGUGUUUUGCAAAAUUUCCAACUGGGUUGAUUCUUGGUAUACAGAUUUCUCAAGCGAUACUUUAUCUAGUUUCCUGUUUCUUUUCUUCUUAUUUAUUUUCCCAUCAUAAAUAAUCUCCUAUCAGAUUUUGAUCAUCAAAGAAGAAAUCUUCUAAAUAUUAUGUUUUCAGUUGAUGCAUUUAUUAAAGUAUUGCUUAAUUAGCUUUUUGAGACAAUUUUUUUGUGUUCUUUUUUAUGUAUUUUGACACAACUUUUGCUGGGAGUUCUCCUUCACCAAUGUUUUUUAUCCAUGUUAUUUUUGCUUUUAGGAGAGGUGAAACAGAAGAACGUUGCAGCUGAUGGAAGGAAUAGAAGAGUACUUAAAGACAUUGGUAAUUUGGUGAAUGAUCGUGCUCUGCAAGUGAAGAAACCAGUCACAGAUGUUAGUAAUGUGGUUGGAGCUGGAAAAGGCCCUGUGGCAACAAGGGUAGCUACUAAAAAGCUAGUUGAGAAGAAGCACGUACCAGAGACGGUGAUUGUGAUAAGCUCUGAUGAUGAAAGUGAGAAGAGUAAACUUAUUGGCAGAAGAGUGUCAAAAGAAGGGUCUUCAAGAAAGGAUGUCAAAACCCUCACUUCAAUCCUGACUGCUCGGAGCAAGGCUGCAUGUGGACUUGCCAAAAAGCCAGAGCAAUCACUGGUGAACAUAGAUGCAACUGAUCUUGAAAAUGAGUUGGCAGCGGUUGAAUAUGUUGAUGAUAUCUACAAGUUUUACAAGCUCACAGAAGCUGAUUGUAGGGUGCAUGACUAUAUGCACUUGCAGCCUGACAUAAAUGCAAAGAUGAGAUCAAUUCUCGUGGAUUGGUUGGUUGAAGUUCAUCGCAAAUUUGAACUCAUGCCGGAAACUCUUUACCUUACCAUAAAUAUAAUUGAUAGAUUCCUUGCCGUAAAAGUUGUACCAAGGAGGGAACUUCAAUUGGUUGGCAUCAGCUCAAUGCUCAUUGCAUGCAAGUAUGAAGAAAUAUGGGCACCAGAGGUUGGUGACUUUAUCUGCAUAUCGGAUAAUGCCUAUAUCAGAGAACAAGUUCUGACAAUGGAAAAAGCUAUCUUGGGAAAGUUGGAAUGGUAUUUAACUGUUCCUACGCCAUAUGUCUUCCUUGUUAGAUACAUCAAAGCCUCAGUUCUAUCUGAUAAGGAGGUACCAAUAUACAUAACUUUUCCAGAAUUUGCUUUUUAAAUCUGCCUUUCAGUUAGAUUUGUCCCAGAUUAGUUGAUCCUAUCUUACUAAUGUAGAUGGAGAAUAUGGUGUUUUUCCUGGCUGAACUUGGUCUGAUGCAAUAUCCAGUGGUCAUCAUGUUCUGCCCCUCGUUGAUUGCUGCAUCGGCUGUGUAUGCUGCACGUUGUACCCUUGAUAAGAGCCCAUUUUGGACUGAAACUCUAAAGCAUCACACAGGAUACAGUGAAGACAUGUUAAUGUAAUUUUUGCUUGCAUUUAAUUUAUGACCCCUAUGCACCAAAUUUGCACAAUAUUUAUUUGGUAGCAGAGCACAACAACAAACUCUUCUUACUUUUUAAUGUGACAGGGAUUGUGCAAAGCUUCUGGUUAAAUUUCAUUCUGCAUCUGCUGAAAGCAAGCUCAAGGCUGUGCAAAAGAAAUUCUCAGGUGCAGAUCGCGGAGCUGUGGCUCUUCUUACCCCAGCAAAAAGUCUUUUGGCACAAUCAUCCUGAAGAACAUUUUCUCCCAUAUACUUUUUUGGGUGAAAGAGUUGUAAAGAUGCAUACGAAAUGCUUUGAUUUUAAGUCAGUGUUAUUGGAUUUUUUUUAUAUGUAAGGAAUGCUAACUUUGAUUAUCUAGAAAAUUAAAUGUUUAUUGGAAUGAUCUGUUUAUCAACUAGAUUAUGCAAAAAGCGAAUUUGGCUUGGCUUUGAGUUGAAUUUGAGCGAAAAACAAACCAGAAAAAAG